rnacentral:lncRNA from 1 species
UUUUGUUGUUGUUGUUGUUGUUUCUUGGGCAUUUUAGAAAAGAAAAGAGGAAGAAAACUUGAAAAUAGCAGGUAACGUCAGUACCUAACGGCUGGCACACUUUUUUCCUUUUACUACUCGUGUAAUCAUGAGUUUGACUUUGCUGUAUUCUUCACAUUUGUCUUAAUCACUGUAAUUAAUCUCCCAAUAGCUCAUUAUGAUACAUUGAAAUCACAAGUCAGAGCAAUUUGAAUCUGCAUAUUCACUAAUCUAUUAAAUCAGGGCAACAGGAAGUGUAAUGUAGUAAUUAAAAGCACAGAUUCUACAGUCAAAUUGUGUUGAUCCAAAUCAUAGCUCUGCCACUUACUAGCCAUGGGAUAUUGGGCCAAAUAAUUUAACCUCUGCCUCAGUUUCCUCAUUUGUAAACAUGCGGAAGUUUCCCAGGCCAGGGAUCGAACCAGUGCCGCAGCUUCAGCCUAUGCCACAGCUAGGGCAACAUCAGGUCCUUAACUUGAUGUGCCAUAAGGGAACUUCCUGAACGUAUUUCUUAAUGUACAUUUAAAAUAUGUUUCCUACAAUAGGAAAAUCUCUGGUGAAAGUUCACUAAAGACAUUUCUCUUAGUAAUUUGUCAGAGUAAGAUGUGUACCUGUCAAGAAGAUUCCAAAUCUGUUCAUUCAUAUAUUUCUUUACAAAAUAAUCUAACCUGGAAAAGAAUCUGGGUCUUCCUAACCAUACCAUUUUACUAUAGACCCAUGAGAGAUCUUUUCUCUCCAUUGUCCACACACUGAGUGAAGUUCCUCAAAACCUGUCUGAUCAGAGAAUGUUCUACUUUAAGUCCUUCAGUGAAUCCCAUUGUCCUUGGCAUGGAGUUUAUGCUUCACAGGAUAUAACAUAAGGUUUCCCAUCUGCCCUCUUAUUAUUCUCUAAACUUUCUGCCUCAUCUAUUCCCCAGUUUAUACCCACUUUGCUCUGCUGAGGUACCAAACCAUCUGCAGUUUCUCAAACAGGUCCUGCUGCCUCUGACCUUCUUGAGUUUACACAUGCCAAUCCAUCCCUUAGACAAGAGCGUGCCGUCCAGGCGUGGUCCCCCAACCAACUAUAAUGUUGUCAAGAGUUAGUUCAGGAGAUCCCUGGUGGCCUAGCGGUCAAGGAUCCAACAUUGUCACUGCUGUGGCUCAGGUUACUGCUGUGGCUUGGGUUUGAUCUCUGGCCUGGAAACUUCCACAUGGUGAGGGCAGAGAGAAAAAGAAAAAAAUAGUUCAGACAUUAAUUUUUCUACCAGAGAUUAAUUGCCUCCCAAGACACAUUUUCCUUUCUUCCCACUAACAGAAACCAGCUUUUGGUUGGACCAUGGCCACCCAAAUCAAAGAUUGCCUUUCCCAGCUUCGCCUGUAGUCAGGUGUGGUCAUAACAUUAAGUUCUGGCUAAUGAGAUUUAGAAUAAUUAGGAGGGGAAAAAAAGGAGUAAGGGGAGAUUAGGUGUGAUAGUAAAGAUAGCAGCAUCUAACAGUUAUUCUGCAUUUACAAUGUCCCGGGAAGCAUUUUAAGUCUUUUAUAUAUAUAUUACUUUAUUUAAUCCUCAUAAGACUGAGAUUCAACCCUCUGACCAUCAAUGCUAUCUUUAUCAUGUGUUAGGUUUCCACAUGCAUAUAAGUCUGUGUUAUUGAACAAUUCAUCCAUCCCUAUGCCCAAAACUCCAGUCUUAAUUAAAACAGCUUUUUAAGUGUUGGUAUCUAGUAAGGCAAGCCCCACACCUGGUUCCUCCUAAGGAAUAUUUUUAUUUUUGAUUCUUUGAUUUUCCAAAUACAUUUUAAAGUCCACAUUUGUGGACUUCCAUGGGAAACCCUGUUGGAAUUUUGAUUGGGAUUGCACUAAAUCAAUUUAGUGAGAGUAGAUCUCUCUAGUGGUGUUGAGUCUUCCUAAGAUUAUUAUUUAUUCAGGUUCUCCUUAAUGUCUUUCAAUAAAAGUUUAUGAUUUUCUCUAUAAAUUUCCUGGAAUCUUUUGUUAGACUUAAACUAAAUCUGCUUUCAAUGGUUGCUCUUAUAAAUAGCAUCUUUUUAAAUGUUUUUAACAGUUUCUUGCAAGUAUAUCAAAAUAAUAGAUUUAUAGAUACUAAACUUAUAUGCAGCCACCCUGCUAAAUUCUCCUUUUAACUGUAACAAUUUGUAGAUUCUUUUGCAUUUUCUACAUAGUUAUAUCAUCUGUGUGUAAUGAUGCUUUGGUUUUUCCUUUUUAAUCCUGAUGUAUUUUUCUUAUUGUCUUUCUGCAUUCUUCAGAACCUGUUCAAUGCCGAAUAGAAGUGGUGAUAGCAGACAUCUCUGUCUUGCUCCUGAUUUUUUGAAGGAAGUGCAUACACGCAAGUUUUGGUCAUGAAAAGAAAGAUGUUUGCUAUAGUUUUUUUUGUUUGUUUUUGUUUUUGUUUUUUGUCUUUUUGCCAUUUCUUGGGCCACUACCAUGGCAUAUGGAGAUUCCCAGGCUUGGGGUCGAAUUGGAGCUGUAGGCGCUGGCCUACGCCAGAGCCACAGCAACACGGGAUCCAAGCCUUGUCUGCAACCUACACCACAGCUCACGGCAAUGCUGGAUCCCCAAGCCACUGAGCAAGGCCAGGGAUCAAACCCUCAACCUCAUGGUUCCUAGUUGGAUUCAUUAACCACUGCGCCAUGACGGGAACUCCUGCUAUAGUUUUUUUAAAUGUACAUUUCAUCAAGAUAAAAAUAAAGUCUCCUUCUAGUUUCGUUUUGCAAAAGGUGUGUUGGGAUUUUAUUUGUUUAAUAUUUAUAAAUGCACAUUGUUUAGAGCAGUGAUUAGAAAACUACAGCUCAAUCCAAAUCAAGUCUAUUUUUACACAGCCCAUAAACUAUGAAUGAUUUUUUUCAUUUUUUAAAUGAAAAGAAAAAAUAUUUUAUGACAACUGAAAUUACAUAAAAUUCAAAUUUCAGUGUCUAUUAAUAAAGUUUUAUUGGAAUGCGGCAAUAUCCGUUUGUUUAUGGAUGGUCUAUGGUGCUUGUGCACCACAAAGUCAUCGUUAAGUAGUUGCAACAGAGACCAUAUGGCCUGCACAGCCUGGAAUAUUUACUAUCUAGCCCUUUAUAGAAAAGAUUUGCCAGCCCGUGGUCUAGAAUCACACAGUUAUAUACAAUUUGUUAUGAAAAACAGCAAAACCGCACUUACCUCUUCCCUCAUUAUCCCAUCCCCAAAGGCAACCACUUCUAUCUCUUUUAGUUGAUUAUUUUAGUAUUUACUUCUGUUUCUCUCAAUAGCAUAACUACAGUAUAACUUCUUUAAUCUUUGACUUUGGGAACUAUAUAUUAUCUUUCCACUAUGGGAGAUGAGGAUAUAACUAUCUUCUUCACUUCACCCCACCAUCCAUAUCUCUGUCAUCCAUCUUUUUCUCCAAUAUUAUAUAUAUUAUGUAAACUAUAUAAUAAUUUGGGUAGGUAAAUAUUCUUUGUUAUGACUCUGUUAAUGCAACUCAUAGUUGAGCCAUGUAGUAGACUGGUUUCUUUUCUAAUGCAAAGCUUUUUAUUUUUCCUGGCAU